rnacentral:lncRNA from 1 species
UUCCACAUAAACACUUCUCCCCCUUUUUAGUCAAAAUUGACCAAAGGUGACCAAUUAGACAAAAUAAAUGUCAAUUAGCCUAGCAGAGAAUGUCAGCACAGAUGUUAUAACAUUAAAAAUGUAAAAACAUAAUUGUUCAGGAGAAACAAACCAUCAUCAUACACAACUGUGAUAGCUGAGAUAAUGAACAAAUCCAUGAUUAAGAGCCCAAAAUAUUACAAAUAGGCAUCAAUGAGGACUGCCACAAAUUACACAUUUUUCA